ncrna:unclassified sequences S15-Halobacteria ribosomal protein leader
CCGGGAAGAACACGGCCGCAAGUCCGACGCGUCGGCAUCGCCGACUUGGGAUUGCGGAUGUGU